rnacentral:rRNA from 1 species
GCUUACGGCCAUACCACCCUGAACACGCCGAUUCGUCCGAUCUCGGAAGCUAAGCAGGGUCGGGCCUGGUUAGUACUUGGAUGGAGACCGCCUGGAAUACCAGGUGCUGUAAGCU